UGAGGAAUAUUGGUCAAUGGGCGGAAGCCUGAACCAGCCAUGCCGCGUGCAGGACGACGGCCCUACGGGUUGUAAACUGCUUUUCCGGGGGAAGAAUAAGGCCCAUGCGUGGGCCGAUGCCGGUACCCCGGGAAUAAGGAUCGGCUAACUCCGUGCCAGCAGCCGCGGUAAUACGGAGGAUCCUAGCGUUAUCCGGAUUUACUGGGUUUAAAGGGUGCGUAGGCGGGCCCCUCAGUCAGCGGUGAAAGUCUGCGGCUCAACCGUAGGAUUGCCGUUGAUACUGGGGGUCUUGAAUUCGGUCAAGGUGGGCGGAAUGCGUGGUGUAGCGGUGAAAUGCUUAGAUAUCACGCAGAACGCCGAUAGCGAAGGCAGCUCACCGGGCCGACAUUGACGCUGAGGCACGAAAGCGUGGGGAUCAAACAGG
rnacentral:rRNA from 1 species